CUCAGCACUCUCUCUUUGAGGUCUACUUCCUGUGUUUUCCUGGAGCACACACCUGAACAGCCACAGCACUGCAGCUGAUGUCAAUUAGCUCGUUAGGCUGAACCAAGCAGUCAGAGAACAGAGACGGUAGAGGGCUGUCUGGAUAAUCCACAGACCUCGCUGUGAACUGUUUCCAGUGGAACCACUGUCCACCAAAGAAACACUUCUUAUAAAAACGUCUCACAUUGUCCAGGGAUAAUCCACAGACCUCGCUGUGAACUGUUUCCAGUGGAACCACUGUCCACCGAAGAAACACCUCUUAUAAAUACUGCUCACAUCGUCCAGGCUAGGCCGGCGGCUAGCUCACGGUUGCUGCUCUGCACUGAUCUCAUACGGCGGUUACAGCUGAUAACGACGUCCUGACUGACAGCACCCACGCUUCCCCCUCAGAACACACUGUUCCAAGACCCUACAGUUUUUCCAAGACCCUCAGUAAGUAAAGACGUAGGCAACAUGUCACUGGUUUUGGCCUCUAGAUGUAUUUAUCCCUGUGUUUAAACAGGUGCUAAUUGUAAUAAUAUAUGUUCCCUUUGUUUUGCUGUUGCAUAACUCCACUCAGAACAAACACUUCAUUAAUCGGGUCGACUGCGUUAGGUAGUCAGUAAUGAGGUGAGUGUUUGAAGAAUAAAGUGAUAAUGACCCAAA